rnacentral:tRNA from 1 species
GCCUUCGUUGUGUAGUGGUCAGCAUAUUCGACUAGUAACCGACAGGUCCUUGGUUCGAUUCUCACCGAAAGCG